rnacentral:lncRNA from 1 species
UUCCCUUCCUCUUGUGAUGUCACCAUUUCAGCCUGUGGCUUCCAAGGCUAUCGUGUCAGGAUAAGGCAUGAAGAACGCACAGUCCUUACCUACCUUUGUCCAGAAGUCAUUGAUAUCACUUCCACUCAUAAGUCAUUGACCUAAACUUAUCACCUGGGACCAAGCUGACUACAAGGUCUGAGAAAUGUAAGGAGCAUGGAGAGCAUUUGAUUCACUGUACAAUGAAAAGCCCUACUGUUUUUGUCAAGUUUGCCAGCUCCUGUGAGAAGUUCUACAAAGGAUCAUAAUAUCUGCACAAGACCAAGGUGAGAGAAAUCCAAUAUAAGUCAUGUCAUAGAAUUAUUAUUA